rnacentral:rRNA from 1 species
ACCCAAUAGAUACCCUGGUAGUCCACGCCCUAAACGAUGUGCACUAGACUGGAGCGGCUCUGACGUCGUUCUGGUCGUAGAGAAAUUGUUAAGUGCACCGCCUGGGUAGUACGGUCGCAAGGCUAAAACUCAAAGGAAUUGACGGGGGCUCACACAAGCGGUGGAGCAUGUUGCUUAAUUCGAAGCAACGCGAAGAACCUUACCUGGGUUUGACAUGUACGGAUUAACCGGUGGAAACACUGGCCACACUCGCAAGAGUGGAACGUACACAGGUGCUGCAUGGCUGUCGUCAGCUCGUGCUGUGAAGUGUCGGGUUUAAGUCCCUUAACGAGCGCAACCCUUGUCGCUAGUUGCUAACAGGUAAUGCUGAGGACUCUAGCGAGACUGCCGGUGUCAAACCGGAGGAAGGCGGGGAUGACGUCAAGUCCUCAUGGCCCUUACAUCCAGGGUUGCAAACGUGCUACAAUGGUGCAUACAGAGCGACGCAAGACCGCAAGGUGGAGCAAAUCGCAAAAAACUGCACCCAC